rnacentral:lncRNA from 1 species
CGGGGAGCCGGCACCCUGGGCAGGGCACUCUCCAGAUGACGCUGGUUCUCAGAGACGCCAUCUGCUUUUGUGACACACGACCGGGGAAGAGAGAAACAAGCAGGCUGAGCUUGGGAGCGACUCCUGGUCGGCAGCCAGUGAGUCAGCGGUGACAGGGACAGAACCUAGAGCCCGGGAUCCGGAGCUUCUGGCCCCGGCCGUGACUCGGCGAUCCGAGCGCCCCGCCCCCACCCAGGCCCCCGGGCCGGGCAGCGGGGGCCAGGAGGGGGCGGGGCAGGGCGCGGCCGGGCUCUGGGUGAGGCCGGAACUGCUUCAUUGUGCAGGACUGGAACAUUCGAAGGCGAAGGCGCCCGACCCGUGGGCCCAUUAGCCUCCCUCGCUCCUCCCUCUCUCCCUCCCUCCCUCCCUGUCUCUCAGACCACCACGCCCGGCAGCUGCCUCCAGACCGGUCCCUACCCAGCGUCUCUCCGCUCCGGGUCCCGAAGCCCCACCUUGCCGCAGGUGUGCACCAGGCCGGUGUUUCUCUCCGCUCGGCUCCGCCGUCUGGGGGACGGCAGGAACUCGACCCAGUACUUCCCACUGCUCCCCUCUGACCAGGCUUCCCGGAGCCCAGGACCUCAGGAAGCCCCUCCCUUGGCCGUCAGCCCCCCGCAGAGCCCUGGAUGCCAUGGAAACCGCCAGGCUUGGGUAGGGGGGCCCCCUUCUGGGCCUGCUGGGGUUCAGUGUCUUUGAAGACACUUUGAGGACUCAGAACCACCCAUUCAUUGGCCAUCAACGAAAAGCCACUACCUGUCGCUGGUGGCAGAACUUGCCAGAGGCCCCUGUACCAGGGGCCACUCAGGAGCAGCAGCCACGUCUCUCAGCCCCAGCAGGGCCCAGCCCGCCUACCCUCCCCAGCAUAGACUGCUGAGGCCUCUUCUGCCUGGACACUGCCUCCCCAUCAUUGUCCCUGUCACCAGCUCCAGCACACCAGGCUCUGCUCCCAGCCCCCGGCCAUCACACACUUCGUGGCCUGUGCCCACCACACUGUUCAUCCACUGGCAAACUCCUUCCCACUCUGCAAAGCCCAGUUCCAAGGACCUGAAGAGGCUGCUGUGGUCACGGCUCAAUGCUGGUCUCGCUGAGAAGUCGUGGCUGCCUCACCUCCUCAUCGAGCUGCCAGGCUGUGAGCCCCAGUCGGAAGAGCGGCUCCUUUUCUCUGACUGCCCACGAACAGCCUUGGGGACGACCAUGUUCAAAUGUUCAUUUGCAACCAGCUGCAGGAUUGGAUUCAACGGCAGUCAGAAAGAAAGAAGCCAAACACAAUGGUGCACACCUGUACUCCCAG